rnacentral:rRNA from 1 species
GAUGAACGCUGGCGGCGUGCUUAACACAUGCAAGUCGAACGGAAAGGCCCAAGCUUGCUUGGGUGCUCGAGUGGCGAACGGGUGAGUAACACGUGGGUGAUCUGCCCUGCACUUUGGGAUAAGCCUGGGAAACUGGGUCUAAUACCGGAUAGGACCAUCGUUUAGUGUCGGUGGUGGAAAGUUUUUCGGUGUGGGAUGAGCUCGCGGCCUAUCAGCUUGUUGGUGGGGUAAUGGCCUACCAAGGCGUCGACGGGUAGCCGGCCUGAGAGGGUGUACGGCCACAUUGGGACUGAGAUACGGCCCAGACUCCUACGGGAGGCAGCAGUGGGGAAUAUUGCACAAUGGGCGCAAGCCUGAUGCAGCGACGCCGCGUGGGGGAUGACGGCCUUCGGGCUGUAAACUCCUUUCGCCAAGGACGAAGCGUUUUGUGACGGUACUUGGAGAAGAAGCACCGGCUAACUACGUG